UCUAGCGAACAAAGUGAAGUGAAGCCUUCGGGCGACACUCCACGGAGUGAGCGGCGGACGGGUGAGUAACACGUGGGAAACCUGCCCUGUGCAUUGGGAUAACAUAUCGAAAGAUGUGCUAAUACCAAAUAAAGUGUUAAGAUCGCAUGAUCUUGGCAUAAAAGCCGAGGCGGCACAGGAUGGUCCCGCGUCCCAUUAGCUAGUUGGUGAGGUAACGGCCCACCAAGGCUACGAUGGGUAGCCGGCCUGAGAGGGUGACCGGCCACACUGGAACUGAGAUACGGUCCAGACUCCUACGGGAGGCAGCAGUGGGGAAUAUUGCACAAUGGGCGAAAGCCUGAUGCAGCAACGCCGCGUGAGCGAUGAAGGCCUUCGGGUCGUAAAGCUCUGUUCUAAGGGAAGAUGAUGACGGUACCUUAGGAGAAAGCCCCGGCAAACUACGUGCCAGCAGCCGCGGUAAUACGUAGGGGGCAAGCGUUAUCCGGAAUCACUGGGCGUAAAGGGUGCGUAGGCGGCCUAUCAAGUCAGAAGUGAAAGGCUACGGCUUAACCGUGGUGAGCUUUUGAAACUGCUGGGCUUGAGUGCAGGAGAG
rnacentral:rRNA from 1 species